rnacentral:rRNA from 1 species
CUCCGUAGGUGAACCUGCGGAGGGAUCAUUACACAAAUAUGAAGGCGGGCUGGAACCUCUCGGGGUUACAGCCUUGCUGAAUUAUUCACCCUUGUCUUUUGCGUACUUCUUGUUUCCUUGGUGGGUUCGCCCACCACUAGGACAAACAUAAACCUUUUGUAAUUGCAAUCAGCGUCAGUAACAAAUUAAUAAUUACAACUUUCAACAACGGAUCUCUUGGUUCUGGCAUCGAUGAAGAACGCAGCGAAAUGCGAUAAGUAGUGUGAAUUGCAGAAUUCAGUGAAUCAUCGAAUCUUUGAACGCACAUUGCGCCCUUUGGUAUUCCAAAGGGCAUGCCUGUUUGAGCGUCAUUUGUACCCUCAAGCUUUGCUUGGUGUUGGGCGUCUUGUCUCUAGCUUUGCUGGAGACUCGCCUUAAAGUAAUUGGCAGCCGGCCUACUGGUUUCGGAGCGCAGCACAAGUCGCACUCUCUAUCAGCAAAGGUCUAGCAUCCAUUAAGCCUUUUUUUCAACUUUUGACCUCGGAUCAGGUAGGGAUACCCGCUGAACUUA